AGAGAUGGAUUGGUGCCUUCGGGAACGUACUGACACAGGUGCUGCAUGGCUGUCGUCAGCUCGUGUCGUGAGAUGUUGGGUUAAGUCCCGCAACGAGCGCAACCCUUGCCUUUAGUUGCCAGCAGUUCGGCUGGGCACUCUAAAGGGACUGCCGGUGUUAAACCGGAGGAAGGUGGGGAUGACGUCAAGUCCUCAUGGCCUUUAUGACCAGGGCUACACACGUACUACAAUGGCCGAUACAAAGGGCAGCGACACUGCGAGGUGAAGCCAAUCCCGUAAAAUCGGUCUCAGUCCGGAUUGGAGUCUGCAACUCGACUCCAUGAAGUUGGAAUCGCUAGUAAUCGUGGAUCAGCAUGCCACGGUGAAUACGUUCCCGGGCCUU
rnacentral:rRNA from 1 species